CGAACGCUGGCGGCGUGCCUAAUACAUGCAAGUCGAACGCACUCUCGUUUAGAUUGAAGGAGCUUGCUCCUGAUUGAUAAACAUUUGAGUGAGUGGCGGACGGGUGAGUAACACGUGGGUAACCUGCCCUAAAGUGGGGGAUAACAUUUGGAAACAGAUGCUAAUACCGCAUAAAACCUAACACCGCAUGGUGUAGGGUUGAAAGAUGGUUUCGACUAUCACUUUAGGAUGGACCCGCGGUGCAUUAGUUAGUUGGUGAGGUAAAGGCUCACCAAGACCGUGAUGCAUAGCCGACCUGAGAGGGUAAUCGGCCACACUGGGACUGAGACACGGCCCAGACUCCUACGGGAGGCAGCAGUAGGGAAUCUUCCACAAUGGACGAAAGUCUGAUGGAACAACGCCGCGUGAGUGAAGAAGGUUUUCGGAUCGUAAAACUCUGUUGUUGGAGAAGAAUGUAUCUGAUAGUAACUGAUCAGGUAGUGACGGUAUCCAACCAGAAAGCCACGGCUAACUACGUG
rnacentral:rRNA from 1 species